GGCGAGGCUAGAGUCUAGGCGUGGCGUUGACCCCGCAUGCUGGAGUCCUCAGAGAGCAGCCGCUGGCCUCAUUCACUGGCUGUGGCCACGGGGCCGAGCCGGGCACCAGGCCAGGGACAGGC
rnacentral:snoRNA from 1 species